UAGCUCAGAUGGUAAAGAAUCUGCCUGUAAUGCAGGAGACCCAGGUUCGAUCCCUGG
rnacentral:tRNA from 1 species